GGAUGAACUGGGUAAGGAGGUCGACGAGAGGAAGGUAUGGAACAGCUGAGGUGCGAGUGAGAUAUUGGCUGUAGUCAGCGACUGCUGGUGGCACUAGCCAAGACGAUGACCUACUCCCUCGUACUUCCUCCGAAGUAAUAAUCCCCUAUCAAAUUUUAUAGAGGUGGCAUUGUCAGACGUUACUGGACAAAAAAUGCUAUGAUGGUUUUGAGAAUAUCAAAGUGCUCUGCAGCUGUUGCAGAAAUACAUGGACAUGUGCACUACACGCUCAAUCUCCAAGUACACACGGGCAAGAAAUUCAUGAUGUUCCAUACAGACAAGUGGCCACCGUCUCCCCGAGAGCUCGGACAACUUCCCCUUUUCUCGGGUC